GACGAACGCUGGCGGCGUGCUUAACACAUGCAAGUCGAACGGUUGAGAGGUGGGAGUUGAGAGGUUAGAAGUGGGAAAAGAAAAAGUCUCACAUCCAACUUCUCACAUCUCACUUCUCAAUAGUGGCGGACGGGUGAGUAACGCGUGGGUAACCUGCCCUUAACACCGGGACAACAGCGGGAAACUGCUGCUAAUACCGGAUAAUCUCAAGAGAAGGCAUCUUCUUUUGAGGAAAGGUGGCCUCUGAAUAUGCUACCGAUUAAGGAUGGACCCGCGUCUGAUUAGCUAGUUGGUAGGGUAGUGGUCUACCAAGGCGACGAUCAGUAGCCGGCCUGAGAGGGUGACCGGCCAACACUGGGACUGAGACACGGCCCAGACUCCUACGGGAGGCAGCAGUGGGGAAUCUUCCGCAAUGGCGAAAGCCUGACGGAGCAACGCCGCGUGAAUGAAGAAGGCCUUCGGUCGUAAGUUCUGUUGAAAGGGAAGAAGUCUCUUAUGCGAAUAGU
rnacentral:rRNA from 1 species